rnacentral:rRNA from 1 species
AGUCGAGGGGUAUGGUUCUUCGGAACCAGAGACCGGCGCACGGGUGCGUAACGCGUAUGCAAUCUGCCUUUCACAGAGGGAUAGCCCAGAGAAAUUUGGAUUAAUACCUCAUAGUAUAGCGACAUCGCAUGAUGAUGCUAUUAAAGUCACAACGGUGAAAGAUGAGCAUGCGUCCCAUUAGCUAGUUGGUAAGGUAACGGCUUACCAAGGCAACGAUGGGUAGGGGUCCUGAGAGGGAGAUCCCCCACACUGGUACUGAGACACGGACCAGACUCCUACGGGAGGCAGCAGUGAGGAAUAUUGGUCAAUGGGCGCAAGCCUGAACCAGCCAUGCCGCGUGCAGGAUGACGGUCCUAUGGAUUGUAAACUGCUUUUAUACGAGAAGAAACACUCCUUCGUGAAGGAGCUUGACGGUAUCGUAAGAAUAAGGAUCGGCUAACUCCGUGCCAGCAGCCGCGGUAAUACGGAGGAUCCAAGCGUUAUCCGGAAUCAUUGGGUUUAAAGGGUCCGUAGGCGGUUAGAUAAGUCAGUGGUGAAAGCCCAUCGCUCAACGGUGGAACGGCCAUUGAUACUGUUUAACUUGAAUUAUUAGGAAGUAACUAGAAUAUGUAGUGUAGCGGUGAAAUGCUUAGAGAUUACAUGGAAUACCAAUUGCGAAGGCAGGUUACUACUAAUGGAUUGACGCUGAUGGACGAAAGCGUGGGUAGCAAACAGGAUUAGAUACCCUGGUAGUCCACGCCCUAAACGAUGUCAACUAGGUGUUGGGUGGGUAAAACCAUUUAGUACCGGAGCUAACGCGUGAAG